rnacentral:lncRNA from 1 species
AUAGUCAUAAGCACAGGCAAAAGAAACAGUAUUCACAAAAUCAAAAUAGGUAGACAUGUAGAAAGAAGGGGGAAGGUAGAAAGGAAAGGCUAAAAAUUACGAAAACACACAAAACACAACACAAUUCAACAUGCGACACACACACACAAUAACAAACACACAAAACAGAACAUCACACUCACAACACAAAACAAAACACAACACACACUAACACAACAAAAGACCUAAAUCCAAACCGUUUGUCCCCGGCAACGGCGCCAAAAUUUUGAUGGGUGUCGCACCCCAUGCAAAUUUAAUGAGCAUAAAGAAUGCAAUAUAGACUAGGAAGUGACUCCUAGGUCGUCUCUCAAGGACCAAACUAUGGUUUGAGAAUCAGGUCAAACAUGAAGUGGGGGGUUUGUGAAGAGUUUUGUGAAUGUGGAUGAAUUAAAUUAAAACCGAAUGCAAACACAAAUGAAAAUAGAAAUCUAAACAGAAAUGCGAAAACGAAAUCAAAUACAAAACAAAAAUGGUUGGUCAUUAACUCAAUCACUAUGCUUUCAAUCACAGAUUAUCGACAAGUACACACUACUCUAAUCCAAAUCCAAC